rnacentral:rRNA from 1 species
UAGAAGAGAUAAUGCUAAAAUUAGUAAUAAGAGAGCACAAGACUCUCUCCCAGCACAAGUGUAAGUCAGACCGGACUAGCCACUGACAAACAGCGGACCCAGAUAACAGAGGGACAUAUAGUAUAAAAAGUAAUAACAGGAAAACCCUAUAACAAAGAACCGUUAACCCUACACAGGAGUGCUACAAGGAAAGACUAAAAGGAGAAGAAGGAACUCGGCAAACACAAACCCCGCCUGUUUACCAAAAACAUCGCCUCUUGCUAAACAAAUGUAUUAGAGGUCCCGCCUGCCCUGUGACAACAUAGUUUAACGGCCGCGGUAUCCUGACCGUGCGAAGGUAGCGUAAUCACUUGUCUUUUAAAUGAAGACCUGUAUGAAUGGCAUAACGAGGGUUUAACUGUCUCCUUCCCCCAGUCAAUGAAAUUGAUCUGCCCGUGCAGAAGCGGACAUAAAAACAUAAGACGAGAAGACCCUAUGGAGCUUUAGGCCAAGGACCAAUCAUGUUAAGAGACUACAAAAUCAAAAACAACAAAAAAGUCAACAAACCAAGUGCAACCUCGUCCAAGUGCCUUCGGUUGGGGCGACCACGGGGAAAAAAGAAACCCCCACAUGGAAUGGAAAUUAUUUCCUUAAACUAAGAGAGACAGCUCUAAGCAACAGAACAUCUGACCAAUAUAUGACCCAGGAAAACAUAUCCUGAUCAAUGAACCAAGUUACCCUAGGGAUAACAGCGCAAUCCUUUCCCAGAGCCCAUAUCGACGAAAGGGUUUACGACCUCGAUGUUGGAUCAGGACAUCCUAAUGGUGCAGCCGCUAUUAAGGGUUCGUUUGUUCAACGAUUAACAGUCCUACGUGAUCUGAGUUCAGACCGGAGUAAUCCAGGUCGGUUUCUAUCUAUGACAUUACUUCUUCCUAGUACGAAAGGACCGGAAAAAGAGGGCCCAUACUAAAAGCAAGCCCCACUCCUAACUUCUGAAAACAAAUAAAGAAA